AGGGCAUUCGGUGGAUGCCUUGGCACCAGGAGGCGACGAAAGACGUGGCACGCUGCGAAAAGCCAUGGGGAGCCGCGAGCAGGCUUUGAUCCGUGGAUAUCUGAAUGGGGAAACCCACCCAGCGAUGGGUAUCAUGUCCUGAAUACAUAGGGGCAUGAGGCGAACCCGGGGAACUGAAACAUCUAAGUACCCGGAGGAAAAGACAUCAAUUGAGAUUCCGCCAGUAGUGGCGAGCGAACGCGGAACAGGCCCGUGAUUGUUGCAGAAGAAGCAGAACGGAAUGGAAAGUCCGGCCAUAGAGGGUGAUAGCCCCUUAUGCGUAGUGUCUGUGAUGAUCCUUGAGUAGGGCGGGACACGUGAAAUCCUGUCUGAACAUGGGGGGACCACCCUCCAAGCCUAAAUACUCCCUGGUGACCGAUAGUGAACAAGUACCGUGAGGGAAAGGUGAAAAGCACCCCGACGAGGGGAGUGAAAGAGACCUGAAACCGAAUGCCUACAAGCAGUCGGAGCCUCUUAUGGGGUGACGGCGUACCUUUUGUAUAAUGGGUCAGCGAGUUUCUGUUUGCAGCAAGCUUAAGCCGGUAGGUGUAGGCGCAGCGAAAGCGAGUCUGAACAGGGCGACGAGUUGCUGGCAGAAGACCCGAAACCGAGUGAUCUAGCCAUGGCCAGGCUGAAGGUGCGGUAACACGCACUGGAGGGCCGAACCCACGCCUGUUGAAAAAGUCGGGGAUGAGCUGUGGCUAGGGGUGAAAGGCCAAUCAAACUCGGAAAUAGCUGGUUCUCCGCGAAAUCUAUUGAGGUAGAUCGUCUGGUAUUACCCCGGGGGGUAGAGCACUGGAUGGGCUAGGGGGGCCCAAAGCCUUACCAAACCUAACCAAACUCCGAAUACCCGGAAGUAUGAGCCAGGCAGACAGACAGUGGGUGCUAAGGUCCAUUGUCGAGAGGGAAACAGCCCAGACCACCAGCUAAGGCCCCCAAAUCGUGGCUAAGUGGGAAAGGAUGUGGGGAUUCCAAAACAACCAGGAGGUUGGCUUAGAAGCAGCCAUCCUUUAAAGAAAGCGUAAUAGCUCACUGGUCUAAUAGAAACCCUGCGCCGAAAAUGUAACGGGGCUCAAGCCACGUGCCGAAGCUGUGGGUGCAUACUAUGUAUGCGCGGUAGCGGAGCGUUCCGUAAGUCUGUGAAGGGGACGGGGUGACCCUCCCUGGAGAUAUCGGAAGUGCGAAUGCUGACAUGAGUAGCGACAAACAGUGCGAGAAACACUGUCGCCGAAAGUCCAAGGGUUCCUGCGCAAGGUUAAUCCGCGCAGGGUGAGCCGGCCCCUAAGGCGAGGGCGAAAGCCGUAGUCGAUGGAAACCAGGUCAAUAUUCCUGGGCCUGCCAGAAGUGACGAAUGCAAUAUGUUGUCGGGUCUUAUCGGAUUGGCCCGGCUUUUGGAGCAUUCCAGGAAAUAGCUCUGGCAUAUAGACCGUACCCGAAACCGACACAGGUGGACUGGUAGAGAAUACCAAGGCGCUUGAGAGAACGAUGCUGAAGGAACUAGGCAAAUUGCUUGCGUAACUUCGGGAUAAGCAAGACCCGUCAGUGGGCAACCAUCGGCGGGUGGCACAGACCAGGGGGUAGCGACUGUUUAGUAAAAACACAGGGCUGUGCGAAGUCGAGAGACGACGUAUACGGCCUGACGCCUGCCCGGUGCCGGAAGGUUAAGAGGAGGUGUGCAAGCACCGAAUUGAAGCCCCGGUAAACGGCGGCCGUAACUAUAACGGUCCUAAGGUAGCGAAAUUCCUUGUCGGGUAAGUUCCGACCUGCACGAAUGGCGUAACGACUUCCCCGCUGUCUCCAGCAUCGGCUCAGCGAAAUUGAAUUCCCCGUGAAGAUGCGGGGUACCCGCGGUCAGACGGAAAGACCCUAUGAACCUUUACUGCAGCUUUGCAGUGGCAUCAGAGACAUUCUGUGUAGGAUAGGUGGGAGGCUUUGAAACCGGGGCGCCAGUUCCGGUGGAGCCAUCCUUGAAAUACCACCCUGACUGUUUCUGAUGUCUAACCGAGACCAGUAAGCCUGGUCCGG
rnacentral:rRNA from 1 species